UUAAGCGACCAAGCGUACACGGUGGAUGCCCUGGCAGUCAGAGGCGAUGAAGGACGUGCUAAUCUGCGAAAAGCGCCGGUAAGGUGAUAUGAACCGUUAUAACCGGCGAUGUCCGAAUGGGGAAACCCAGUGUGACUCGUCACACUAUCAUUAACUGAAUCCAUAGGUUAAUGAGGCGAACCGGGGGAACUGAAACAUCUAAGUACCCCGAGGAAAAGAAAUCAACCGAGAUUCCCCCAGUAGCGGCGAGCGAACGGGGAGGAGCCCAGAGCCUGAAUCAGCAUGUGUGUUAGUGGAAGCGUCUGGAAAGGCGCGCGAUACAGGGUGACAGCCCCGUACACAAAAGCGCAUGUGCUGUGAGCUCGAUGAGUAGGGCGGGACACGUGGUAUCCUGUCUGAAUAUGGGGGGACCAUCCUCCAAGGCUAAAUACUCCUGACUGACCGAUAGUGAACCAGUACCGUGAGGGAAAGGCGAAAAGAACCCCGGCGAGGGGAGUGAAACAGAACCUGAAACCGUGUACGUACAAGCAGUGGGAGCCCCACCACUAAGCCAGUGGUGAACUCCACAUACGCAUCCUUUGCGGAAGAUACGGUUAACGGAGCGAAAGCGACGUUCAACCGCAAAAGAAGCAGAGGGGGCUUAGUGGUGGGGUGACUGCGUACCUUUUGUAUAAUGGGUCAGCGACUUAUAUUCUGUAGCAAGGUUAACCGUAUAGGGGAGCCGGAGGGAAACCGAGUCUUAACCGGGCGUUAAGUUGCAGGGUAUAGACCCGAAACCCGGUGAUCUAGCCAUGGGCAGGUUGAAGGUUGGGUAACACUAACUGGAGGACCGAACCGACUAAUGUUGAAAAAUUAGCGGAUGACCUGUGGCUGGGGUGAAAGGCCAAUCAAACCGGGAGAUAGCUGGUUCUCCCCGAAAGCUAUUUAGGUAGCGCCUCGUGAAUUCAUCUCCGGGGGUAGAGCACUGUUUCGGCCAGGGGGCCAUCCCGGCUUACCAACCCGAUGCAAACUGCGAAUACCGGAGAAUGUUAUCACGGGAGACACACGGCGGGUGCUAACGUCCGUCGUGAAGAGGGAAACAACCCAGACCGCCAGCUAAGGUCCCAAAGUCAUGGUUAAGUGGGAAACGAUGUGGGAAGGCCCAGACAGCCAGGAUGUUGGCUUAGAAGCAGCCAUCAUUUAAAGAAAGCGUAAUAGCUCACUGGUCGAGUCGGCCUGCGCGGAAGAUGUAACGGGGCUAAACCAUGCACCGAAGCUGCGGCAGCGACACUGUGUGUUGUUGGGUAGGGGAGCGUUCUGUAAGCCUGCGAAGGUGUGCUGUGAGGCAUGCUGGAGGUAUCAGAAGUGCGAAUGCUGACAUAAGUAACGAUAAUGCGGGUGAAAAACCCGCACGCCGGAAGACCAAGGGUUCCUGUCCAACGUUAAUCGGGGCAGGGUGAGUCGACCCCUAAGGCGAGGCCGAAAGGCGUAGUCGAUGGGAAACGGGUUAAUAUUCCCGUACCUGGUGUUACUGCGAAGGGGGACGGAGAAGGCUAUGUUGGCCGGGCGACGGUUGUCCCGGUUUAAGCGUGUAGGUGUGUGUUCCAGGAAAAUCCGGUUCACUUUAACACUGAGGCGUGACGACGAGGCACUACGGUGCUGAAGCAACAAAUGCCCUGCUUCCAGGAAAAGCCUCUAAGCCUCAGGUAACAUCAGAUCGUACCCGAAACCGACACAGGUGGUCAGGUAGAGAAUACCAAGGCGCUUGAGAGAACCCGGGUGAAGGAACUAGGCAAAAUGGUGCCGUAACUUCGGGAGAAGGCACGCUGACAUGUAGGUGAAGCGGUUUACCCGUGGAGCUGAAGUCAGUCGAAGAUACCAGCUGGCUGCAACUGUUUAUUAAAAACACAGCACUGUGCAAACACGAAAGUGGACGUAUACGGUGUGACGCCUGCCCGGUGCCGGAAGGUUAAUUGAUGGGGUCAGCGCAAGCGAAGCUCCUGAUCGAAGCCCCGGUAAACGGCGGCCGUAACUAUAACGGUCCUAAGGUAGCGAAAUUCCUUGUCGGGUAAGUUCCGACCUGCACGAAUGGCGUAAUGAUGGCCAGGCUGUCUCCACCCGGGACUCAGUGAAAUUGAACUCGCUGUGAAGAUGCAGUGUACCCGCGGCAAGACGGAAAGACCCCGUGAACCUUUACUAUAGCUUGACACUGAACACUGGUCCUUGAUGUGCAGGAUAGGUGGGAGGCUUUGAAGUGUGGACGCCAGUCUGCAUGGAGCCGUCCUUGAAAUACCACCCUUUAAUGGCUGGUGUUCUAACGUAGACCCGUGAACCGGGUUGCGGACAGUGUCUGGUGGGUAGUUUGACUGGGGCGGUCUCCUCCUAAAGCGUAACGGAGGAGCACGAAGGUUGGCUAAUCCUGGUCGGACAUCAGGAGGUUAGUGCAAUGGCAUAAGCCAGCUUGACUGCGAGCGUGACGGCGCGAGCAGGUGCGAAAGCAGGUCAUAGUGAUCCGGUGGUUCUGAAUGGAAGGGCCAUCGCUCAACGGAUAAAAGGUACUCCGGGGAUAACAGGCUGAUACCGCCCAAGAGUUCAUAUCGACGGCGGUGUUUGGCACCUCGAUGUCGGCUCAUCACAUCCUGGGGCUGAAGUAGGUCCCAAGGGUAUGGCUGUUCGCCAUUUAAAGUGGUACGCGAGCUGGGUUUAGAACGUCGUGAGACAGUUCGGUCCCUAUCUGCCGUGGGCGCUGGAGAACUGAGGGGGGCUGCUCCUAGUACGAGAGGACCGGAGUGGACGCAUCACUGGUGUUCGGGUUGUCAUGCCAAUGGCACUGCCCGGUAGCUAAAUGCGGAAGAGAUAAGUGCUGAAAGCAUCUAAGCACGAAACUUGCCCCGAGAUGAGUUCUCCCUGAGACUACAAGUCUCCUGAAGGAACGUUGAAGACGACGACGUUGAUAGGCCGGGUGUGUAAGCGCAGCGAUGCGUUGAGCUAACCGGUACUAAUGAACCGUGAGGCUUAACCUU
rnacentral:rRNA from 1 species